rnacentral:pre_miRNA from 1 species
CAUGUACUCCCUCCGUUCGGAAUUACUCGUUCAAGAAAUGAAUAUAUCUAGAUGUAUUUUAGUUGUAGAUACAUCCAUUUUUGUGACAAGUAAUUCCGAACGAAGGGAGUAUGUU